CCAUCAAGUCACCUCUGACUCAUAACAACCCUAUGAAUGAGUGAUCUGCAAAUGUUCUGUCCUCAGCUGCUUUGCUCAGCUUUUGUAAACUGAAGCCUGUGGCUUUCCUUAGGAAUUCAGUCCAACUCAUAUUUGGUGUAAUGAGUGUAGCAGUGGGAGCAGUUUUUGCCUAUGCUGUUGGAUUGUCAGCCAGCUGCAGAGCUCAGUCUCCUGACAUUCUUCAUGCUCAGUUCUGAGAGAAUCAGUGGGAAGAAACUUGGGACUACCUGAAACUGUCUGGUAAUUACUUGCAAGCAAACAUUCAUGCAGAAACUAAGAGGGGUGAAUUCUAUACAACACAGACCUUUCCAUAUCCAGUGACAUGCAAUUACCAAUUCUAAGAAGUGUAGUACAGAAUCCUUAAAUUAACAACUCCACCCCUUUUUUUAAACACUGAACAAUAAUGACCCUAAGGUAAUAAUUAACAGGGCAUUCUGAUUCAUCUUCCUAUGAUUGCUUAGUAUAUGCUAGGAACAAUUGUGCCAGUAGUGCAUCGUUCCUAAGUAUAGAAAGUGACUUCACCCUGUAAUAAAGCUGUAUCUGUUUCGGAAACA
rnacentral:lncRNA from 1 species